AAUCAACGCUGGCGGCGUGCCUCAGACAUGCAAGUCGAACGAUUAAAGCUCUCUUCGGAGAGUGUAUAGAGUGGCGCACGGGUGAGUAACACGUAAGUAAUCUACCUUCGAGUGGGGAAUAACGUCCGGAAACGGACGCUAAUACCGCAUAAUGCAGCGGCAUCGCAAGAUGACAGUUGUUAAAGAUUUAUCGCUUGAAGAGGAGCUUGCGGCAGAUUAGCUAGUUGGUAAGGUAAUGGCUUACCAAGGCUACGAUCUGUAACCGGUCUAAGAGAACGGUCGGUCACACUGACACUGAAUAACGGGUCAGACUCCUACGGGAGGCAGCAGUCGGGAAUUUUGGGCAAUGGGCGAAAGCCUGACCCAGCAACGCCGCGUGAAGGAUGAAGUAUUUCGGUAU
rnacentral:rRNA from 1 species